UACGUUCCCGGGCCUUGUACACACCGCCCGUCACAUCACGAAAGUGGGUUGUACUAGAAGUCCUAAUAUAAACAGGCCCAAGGUAUGACUCAUGAUUGGGGUG
rnacentral:rRNA from 1 species